rnacentral:tRNA from 1 species
UACCCAGUAGCCAAGCGGUAAGGCAUCAGGUUCUGGUCCUGACAUUCCAUGGGUUCGAAUCCUAUCUGGGUAA